rnacentral:rRNA from 1 species
GUACACACCGCCCGUCACACCAUGGGAGUGGGCUGCAAAAGAAGUGGGUAGUUUAACCUUCGGGAGGACGCUCACCACUUUGUGGUUCAUGACUGGGGUGAAGUCGUAACAAGGUAGCGCUAGGGGAACCUGGCGCUGGAUCACCUCCUUAUACGAUGAU